UACGAAGGGGGCUAGCGUUGCUCGGAAUCACUGGGCGUAAAGCGCACGUAGGCGGCUUCUCAAGUCAGGGGUGAAAUCCUGGAGCUCAACUCCAGAACUGCCUUUGAUACUGAGGAGCUUGAGUCCGGGAGAGGUGAGUGGAACUGCGAGUGUAGAGGUGAAAUUCGUAGAUAUUCGCAAGAACACCAGUGGCGAAGGCGGCUCACUGGCCCGGUACUGACGCUGAGGUGCGAAAGCGUGGGGAGCAAACAGG
rnacentral:rRNA from 1 species